UACAGAAAAUCCUCAUCUGAAACCAGGGUCCUGGCUGACCUUUGAACGUGACCUUCAGGGGAUGGUGGACGUCAUAAUCAUCCAGGAUACAAGAAAUGCACCAUCCUCCACUGAGACACUGGCUCUGCACGGGCAUUUGCUGAGGGCUAUCAACUCCUGGACAAAUGCAGGCAUUUUUUCAGUUGACAUCUAGAAGCUCUGGUUCUCUACCUUGCCGUCUACUGUCUUAUCCAGUGGUCACCUCUAUUCAAAUCCAGAACUGGUCUGCAAAGGUGCCAGCUAUCAAGCACAUCCAUCCACAUAGAGCUCUGCAGGGCCACACUGUGCCCCACUAAGGCCGGAAGGAAUCCCGCACACUUCCGGUCCCGUGUCCUUGGCCAGGACAGCACCAUCUCCUGUCGUCACAAGGGAGAGAAGGACGAGAGAGUGCAAGCAUAGAGAUGGCCCAGGUCUGACGCUCAGGACGUGAUAGUCAUCAAGUCACCUAGGCUGAGUGGAAGCCGUGAACAGGAAUGCUUCCUAGCUUGAAGACCUUCACGUGUGCUUUCAGAUGUGACACACUGGCCUGCAAACCUCCUUGCUCACAGCUGUCGUGGGAAUCUCCAUUCUUUACAGACUCAGCUCCCCACCUGAGGUCCCAGUGUCCAGGCAGGAGUCCCCAGCCUCCGUCCAACUAGGAACCAGACUGUUCCUCUCAACACUUUGCUUCAUUCAGAAGAAAUCCCACUUUCCAAAUGCCUUGGUGAUACCUCUGGUGAGCACGUACAUCAUGCUGAAGAUAGAACAGGGCAGGAAAUGGAAGAUUUAGGACUUUGGAGCCAGACAGACAUGGGUCAACCCCCUGCCCUGCAUUUAUAACAGAAUGAUCCAAAGCCCCUACUCUUCAAGACUGUGCAUGGACAGAAUCUGUACACAGACAGAACAUAGCCCGAGAGCCGGACUGCCGAGGUCCAAAUUCUAACCUUACCACUUCCUGGUGCUGCUUGCUGCCCGCCUCCGCUCCUCCACCGGGCACCGUGACACACAACCCUCGGGCCCCUCACGCGCCCCUGUCUUCUCCUGUGUGCCUGGGAAGAAUUCAACCCGCCCCUGCCACACCUCGGGCACAUCCCUUAUCACAUCAUAUGUUAUUUUUUAUUUAUUUUCUUUUUCACCUCACCCAACUGGAAUAUAAAUUCCACAAGAUCGGUAUUUUAUUUGACUUUGCAUACCAGAACCCCAAACACGUGGG
rnacentral:lncRNA from 1 species